rnacentral:rRNA from 1 species
AGACAGCAGUCGCCGCGGUAAUACGGAGGGUGCAAGCGUUAAUCGGAAUUACUGGGCGUAAAGCGUGCGUAGGCGGUUUGUUAAGUCUGCUGUGAAAUCCCCGGGCUCAACCUGGGAAUGGCAGUGGAUACUGGCAAGCUAGAGUGUGUCAGAGGAUGGUGGAAUUCCCGGUGUAGCGGUGAAAUGCGUAGAGAUCGGGAGGAACAUCAGUGGCGAAGGCGGCCAUCUGGGACAACACUGACGCUGAGGCACGAAAGCGUGGGGAGCAAACAGGAUUAGAUACCCGCGUAGUCCCUGUCUCUUAUAC